CUAGCCCUAUGAAUGAUGAGCUACUUCCCACCUGGUUCCGCCUCCGAGUUUUCCCAGUGAUCUUUGGUCCAGAGACUCAUGCCCCUGUGUGAGUCCUUCUCCUGUGGCAGAGAUGAUGGGCUUUCUGCCUCAUUCCUCACAGCAGAGGUGAUGGAAUGCUACCCCUGAGAUUGAAUGAGGAAACUGAUCUCAGCCAUGGCUUUUCUCUCUGGCUUGCUCAUUCUGAUGAAGCCAGCAGCCAUGUUGGGAGUCCCCUGUGGAGACAUCUAGGAGGUAAGGACCUCCUCUACCCACAGGCAAAGACUUUACUACAAAAGCCCAUGAAGAAGCUGAACCUCUCCAUGAUCAUUGGCGUGAUCUUGGAAGCAGAUCCCUCCCUCAGAGGAAACUGACUUUGGAAGAGACCCCAGUUUCAGCUGACAUAUGGCGGCUGCCUUGUGAAACAUCCUGGGACAGAGGACCCAGGGAAGCCAUACCACCUACCAGGCUGAUGGGCUAUGCAGAUAUUGCAGAUUCUCCAGAUAUGCUCGCAAAGCCACGGAGACCUACCAUGUUCAACAGCCCACCUGGAAACACAAGAGGACACAGGCCACCAAACCCCAGCCCACUAGUACCCAAACCACCUGUCUCUCAGGGAUUUUAAUGACAGCCUCUGCCUGGAAUUAAAAUGAAAGCAAGUUGCAAGACGGUG